rnacentral:rRNA from 1 species
AUACGUAGGGGGCGAGCGUUGUCCGGAAUGAUUGGGCGUAAAGGGCGCGUAGGCGGCCCGGUAAGUCUGGAGUGAAAGUCCUGUUUUUAAGAUGGGAAUUGCUUUGGAUACUGUCGGGCUUGAGUGCAGGAGAGGUAAGUGGAAUUCCCAGUGUAGCGGUGAAAUGCGUAGAGAUUGGGAGGAACACCAGUGGCGAAGGCGCUUUACUGGACUGUAACCGACGCUGAGGCGCGAAAGUGUGGGGAGCAAACAGGAUUAGAUACCCUGGUAGCCCACACUGUAAACGAUGAAUGCUAGGUGUAGGGGGUAUCGACCCCUUCUGUGCCGCAGUCAACACAAUAAGCAUUCCGCCUGGGGAGUACGGCCGCAAGGUUGAAACUCAAAUGAAUUGACGGGG